rnacentral:rRNA from 1 species
AUUGAACGCUGGCGGCAUGCCUUACACAUGCAAGUCGAACGGCAGCACGGGUGCUUGCUCCUGGUGGCGAGUGGCGAACGGGUGAGUAAUACAUCGGAACAUGUCCCGUGGUGGGGGGUAGCCCGGCGAAAGCCGGAGUAAUACCGCGUACGAUCUACGGGUGAAAGCGGGGGGGCUGGAGGGCUCGCGCUAUUGGGUUGGGAGAUGGCUGAUUAGCUCGUUGGUGGGGUGAAGGCCUACCCCGGCGACGAGCAGUAGCGGGUCUGAGAGGAGGACCGGCCACACGAGGACGUGAACACGGCCCAGGCGCCUACGGGAGGCAGCAGUGUGGAAUGUGGGGCAAUGGGCGAGAGUCUUAUCCAGCGAUGCCGCGUGUGUUAAGAAGGCCUUCGGGUUGUGAAGCACUUUUGUCCGGAAAGAAAUCCUUUGCCCUAAUACGGUCGGGGGAUGACGGUACCGGAAGAAGAAGCACCGGCUAACUACGUG